rnacentral:rRNA from 1 species
UACGAAGGGUGCUAGCGUUGUUCGGAAUUACUGGGCGUAAAGCGCACGUAGGCGGAUAUUUAAGUCUGGGGUGAAAUCCCAGAGCUCAACUCCAGAACUGCCUUUGAUACUGAGGAUCUUGAGUAUGGGAGAGGUGAGUGGAACUGCGAGUGUAGAGGUGAAAUUCGUAGAUAUUCGCAAGAACACCAGUGGCGAAGGCGGCUCGCUGGCCAAUUACUGACGCUGAGGCACGAAAGCGUGGGGAGCAAACAGG